rfam:Otolemur garnettii contig057532, whole genome shotgun sequence.
UUCCUGGAGUUGAGGGUUUCUGUAGGCACUUUUAUUUCUUUAUUUUCAAGAGGAGGUUGGGCCUGGCUCAAAUCUUAGGCUGCCCAAUCUUGUUUCUAUUACCAAUUUUAAUCUAUGGCUUGAUCCUGUACACUGAAAACCAAAUUCAU